rnacentral:rRNA from 1 species
CCAAAUGACUCUCAGCAACGGAUAUCUCGACUCUCGCAUGGACGAAUAACGUAGCGAAAUGUGAUACUAGGUAUGAACUGCAGAAUUUCGUGAACCAUUGAGUCUUUGAACGCAGGUUGUGCCAGAAGCUGUCAGGCCAAGGGCACAUCUGCCUGGGCAUCACCC